UUAAGCGACUAAGCGUACACGGUGGAUGCCCUGGCAGUCAGAGGCGAUGAAGGACGUGCUAAUCUGCGAAAAGCGUCGGUAAGGUGAUAUGAACCGUUAUAGCCGGCGAUGUCCGAAUGGGGAAACCCAGUGUGAUUCGUCACACUAUCGUUAACUGAAUACAUAGGUUAACGAGGCGAACCGGGGGAACUGAAACAUCUAAGUACCCCGAGGAAAAGAAAUCAACCGAGAUUCCCCCAGUAGCGGCGAGCGAACGGGGAGCAGCCCAGAGUCUGAAUCAGCUUGUGUGUUAGUGGAACGGUCUGGAAAGUCCGACGGUACAGGGUGAUAGUCCCGUACACCAAAAUGCACAGGCUGUGAACUCGAAGAGUAGGGCGGGACACGUGGUAUCCUGUCUGAAUAUGGGGGGACCAUCCUCCAAGGCUAAAUACUCCUGACUGACCGAUAGUGAACCAGUACCGUGAGGGAAAGGCGAAAAGAACCCCGGCGAGGGGAGUGAAAAAGAACCUGAAACCGUGUACGUACAAGCAGUGGGAGCACCUUCGGGUGUGACUGCGUACCUUUUGUAUAAUGGGUCAGCGACUUAUAUUCUGUAGCAAGGUUAACCGUAUAGGGGAGCCGCAGGGAAACCGAGUCUUAACUGGGCGUUAAGUUGCAGGGUAUAGACCCGAAACCCGGUGAUCUAGCCAUGGGCAGGUUGAAGGUUGGGUAACACUAACUGGAGGACCGAACCGACUAAUGUUGAAAAAUUAGCGGAUGACUUGUGGCUGGGGGUGAAAGGCCAAUCAAACCGGGAGAUAGCUGGUUCUCCCCGAAAGCUAUUUAGGUAGCGCCUCGUGAACUCAUCUUCGGGGGUAGAGCACUGUUUCGGCUAGGGGGUCAUCCCGACUUACCAACCCGAUGCAAACUACGAAUACCGAAGAAUGUUAUCACGGGAGACACACGGCGGGUGCUAACGUCCGUCGUGAAGAGGGAAACAACCCAGACCGCCAGCUAAGGUCCCAAAGUCAUGGUUAAGUGGGAAACGAUGUGGGAAGGCACAGACAGCCAGGAUGUUGGCUUAGAAGCAGCCAUCAUUUAAAGAAAGCGUAAUAGCUCACUGGUCGAGUCGGCCUGCGCGGAAGAUGUAACGGGGCUAAACCAUGCACCGAAGCUGCGGCAGCGACACUAUGUGUUGUUGGGUAGGGGAGCGUUCUGUAAGCCUGCGAAGGUGUGCUGUGAGGCAUGCUGGAGGUAUCAGAAGUGCGAAUGCUGACAUAAGUAACGAUAAAGCGGGUGAAAAGCCCGCUCGCCGGAAGACCAAGGGUUCCUGUCCAACGUUAAUCGGGGCAGGGUGAGUCGACCCCUAAGGCGAGGCCGAAAGGCGUAGUCGAUGGGAAACAGGUUAAUAUUCCUGUACUUGGUGUUACUGCGAAGGGGGGACGGAGAAGGCUAUGUUAGCCGGGCGACGGUUGUCCCGGUUUAAGCAUGUAGGCUGGUUAUCCAGGCAAAUCCGGAUAAUCAAGGCUGAGGUGUGAUGACGAGGCACUACGGUGCUGAAGUAACAAAUGCCCUGCUUCCAGGAAAAGCCUCUAAGCAUCAGGUAACAUUAAAUCGUACCCCAAACCGACACAGGUGGUCAGGUAGAGAAUACCAAGGCGCUUGAGAGAACUCGGGUGAAGGAACUAGGCAAAAUGGUGCCGUAACUUCGGGAGAAGGCACGCUGGUGUGUAGGUGAAGUCCCUGCGGAUGGAGCUGAGACCAGUCGAAGAUACCAGCUGGCUGCAACUGUUUAUUAAAAACACAGCACUGUGCAAACACGAAAGUGGACGUAUACGGUGUGACGCCUGCCCGGUGCCGGAAGGUUAAUUGAUGGGGUUAUCCGUAAGGAGAAGCUCUUGAUCGAAGCCCCGGUAAACGGCGGCCGUAACUAUAACGGUCCUAAGGUAGCGAAAUUCCUUGUCGGGUAAGUUCCGACCUGCACGAAUGGCGUAAUGAUGGCCAGGCUGUCUCCACCCGAGACUCAGUGAAAUUGAACUCGCUGUGAAGAUGCAGUGUACCCGCGGCAAGACGGAAAGACCCCGUGAACCUUUACUAUAGCUUGACACUGAACAUUGAGCCUUGAUGUGUAGGAUAGGUGGGAGGCUUUGAAGCGUGGACGCCAGUCUGCGUGGAGCCAACCUUGAAAUACCACCCUUUAAUGUUUGAUGUUCUAACGUUGGCCCCUUACCGGGGUUGCGGACAGUGUCUGGUGGGUAGUUUGACUGGGGCGGUCUCCUCCCAAAGCGUAACGGAGGAGCACGAAGGUUAGCUAAUCCUGGUCGGACAUCAGGAGGUUAGUGCAAUGGCAUAAGCUAGCUUGACUGCGAGCGUGACGGCGCGAGCAGGUGCGAAAGCAGGUCAUAGUGAUCCGGUGGUUCUGAAUGGAAGGGCCAUCGCUCAACGGAUAAAAGGUACUCCGGGGAUAACAGGCUGAUACCGCCCAAGAGUUCAUAUCGACGGCGGUGUUUGGCACCUCGAUGUCGGCUCAUCACAUCCUGGGGCUGAAGUAGGUCCCAAGGGUAUGGCUGUUCGCCAUUUAAAGUGGUACGCGAGCUGGGUUUAGAACGUCGUGAGACAGUUCGGUCCCUAUCUGCCGUGGGCGCUGGAGAAUUGAGGGGGGCUGCUCCUAGUACGAGAGGACCGGAGUGGACGCAUCACUGGUGUUCGGGUUGUCAUGCCAAUGGCACUGCCCGGUAGCUAAAUGCGGAAGAGAUAAGUGCUGAAAGCAUCUAAGCACGAAACUUGCCCCGAGAUGAGUUCUCCCUGAGACUUUAAGUCUCCUGAAGGAACGUUAAAGACGAUGACGUUGAUAGGCCGGGUGUGUAAGCGCAGCGAUGCGUUGAGCUAACCGGUACUAAUGAACCGUGAGGCUUAACCUU
rnacentral:rRNA from 1 species